CUAUACAUGACUCUGCGCAUAUCAAUAAGCGGAGGAAAAGAAACUAACAAGGAUUCCCCUAGUAACGGCGAGUGAAGCGGGAAGAGCUCAAAUUUGAAAUCUUAAAGGGUUUCCCUUUACGAAUUGUAGUUUAAAGAAGUGUUUUCUGUUGAGGUUUUGGUAAAAGUUCUUUGGAAUAGGACAUCAUAGAGGGUGAGAAUCCCGUAUUUGACCUUUACUUUCAACUUUGUGAUACACUUUCAAAGAGUCGGAUUGUUUGGGAAUGCAGUCCAAAAUGGGUGGUAAAUUUCAUCUAAAGCUAAAUAUUGGCGAGAGACCGAUAGCGAACAAGUACCGUGAGGGAAAGAUGAAAAGAACUUUGAAAAGAGAGUUAAACAGUACGUGAAAUUGUCAAAAGGGAAGCGUUUGACACCAGUGUUGUUUUUCUGAAAAUCAAUUAAAGAACUGUUUAUGCUAAGUUGUUUAGACUUUAUCAGCUAACUGUUUAGUUUUGAGCUUUUCUUUAAUGCACUUUUCAGUUAACAAGUCAACAUCAAUUUCUUUUGCUGUAAAAAAGCUUGAGGAAGGUGGCUUGAGAUUCGUCUUAAGUGUUUAUAGCCUCUUGCCUAUGCAGUCGGAGAGAUUGAGGUCUGCAGCGUAGAUCCUUCGGGGCUAAAUGCAUUUGUGCUAAGUUAUAGCAUUUCAUAGACAACUUGUUGACUAUGAUUUGUCUUGUAGCUUACUCGCUUAUGUUAUUUUACCUACGCUUAGGAUGUUGAUCUACAGAGCGAGAGU
rnacentral:rRNA from 1 species